rnacentral:tRNA from 1 species
GACCCGUUCGUCUAGAGGCCUAGGACACCAGCCUUUCACGUUGGCAGCACGGGUUCGAAUCCCGUACGGGUCGCCA